UAGAAACCCUAGGUUAGCCGCCACCUCUCUCUCUCUCUCUCUCUCUCUCUCCCACUACCAUAACCCUUCAUCUCCUUCUUUCUUUCUCUAUUAUCCUUCAAUCGAUACCAGAUUUUCAAAAAUAUGAUGGAGAUCUUUACUCUAAUGGGAUUUGAAUCAAGGCUAUUGAGACUCUGAAGCAUGAUUUUUUAAAUGUAUAUUUGAACUCUAUUGAGGUUGAUAAUAGUAUUAUUAGAGGCCAGGCCUUGUAGAGCAACUACAUUCGUGAAGUAAUGGAUGAAUAAUGCUUUGUAUUCAAGGGCUUAUGGUCAAUUUUAUUCCCAUAUGAAUCCGAAAAGAUUAUUGCAACAAUGAUAAGAAAAUCAAAUGAGGUUGUUCAUACUCUUUGUUGCAAACACAACCACCAAAAGCCGUCGGGGAAAUCGGAACAACAACCCUAUAGGAGGCUUCGUUGGUCAUUUAUAUCAUUGAUAUUAUCAUUGGUCGCAUAUUGCAUCGCAUGACCCAUCAUGUUUACUAGGGUCAUGUUCAUGUUGUAAGCUUUUGAGCUACCUUCUCAUUCAAAAAGUGUACUAUAUGAAUUUGACUCUCACAUCACAUGAAUAUUAUUUCUCCCAAACAUGCCAACAGUAGUUCCAGCAGUUCUGGUAGUGAUUCAUCUUCAUCUAGUCGUAUAAUACUUUCCUGUUACUAAUUCA